rnacentral:misc_RNA from 1 species
CGCAGCGUACAGCUCUGUUGGCUGUUUCUGGUUACCCUUUCCACAUUCACUGCGCAGAGUUGUACACGCGCGCGAACCUGUGCCCAUAACUCUCUUCCUGUCUGCGGUGCGUAUCAGACAGCAUGCCUUACCACCUUCCGAUCCGCGAGGGCCUCGUCGAGGACCUUGAGGAGGCCGAGGAGGCCUUCAUCGAUCUCGAGGACCCCGGCAUUGCGAUUCUCGACGAGGCUGCCGUGCCCGAGGAGGACGGCGACGAUGCCUCUGAUAUCGUCGAUAAUCAUGCCGAGAUGGAUGUGCAAAACAGAAAUAACGAGGAGGAGUGUGGGGGUCUGCAUCUGGGUGCCGAGGUGGAGGAUCUCAACGCGGCCCCCGACCAUGAGCCGGAGCACGACGACGCCUUCGCAACGUUCGUGGCGCCGGCGAAAAAGCCUCUUCAUGCCAUCGCAGUGCACCCACAGAAUGAGCGCAUCUUUGCUGUGGGUGGGGAAGGGGAGGAGGUGUACGUCUUGGCGAUGGACCACGCUGGCAAGGAGCCGGUGCUCAAGGCCGCUCUCACGGGGCACACCGACACGGUUAGUCUUCUCUCCUUUUCCCCGAACGGGCAGUGGCUGGCCAGUGGCAGUCUUGAUUCCAGCGUCGCUAUAUGGUCGACAGAGACAUGGGAGCGCAAGCACACACUGUGCGAUCUCUACGGCGAGAUCAUGACGCUCUUGUGGCACCCCUCCAGUCUCAUCCUCGCCGCCGGCGCCGACGACGCGCAAGCCGCGAUGUGGAACACUGUCAAGGGCACUCUCGUCAUGUACUUUGUUGGCCACCGCGGCGCUGUUACCUGCACUGCCUGGUCACCAGACGUCAAGAAGCUGGUGACGGGCAGCAGCGACGGCACCGUUGCCGUUUUCAACCCCAAAACCGGGGAUCAAGAGCUUUGCAUAUCGAAGGAUCUCAGCCCCGACAGUGCUGGCAUCACAGCGCUGCAAUUUGUGAACGACGACCAGUGCGUAGUGGGCUGCGAAGAUGGCACGUUGCAUGUGAUCUCCUUACGAAGUGGCAAGGUAGUGACGCACUUCGAGGACCUGCACGAGCAGGCCAUCGAGUCGCUGGCCAUCAACGAGAGCUCUCUGCUCCUCUUGACGGCCAGCUGUGACUGCCGCGUCAUUGUAUGGAACGUCGCCGACUUCUCUGCUCGUGCGACAUGGGAGGUGGGCGAAAGCGUCAUUCCCGCUUUGUGGUCUCACUCGCACCUGAUCGCCGCCGGGUGCAGUGACGGCAAGAUCCGCGUAUGGGACGGACGGUCCUCGGCGCAGGAGCCGCUAGCGUUGCUCAUGGGCCACCGUCGCAUGGUCCUCAGUCUUGUGACCACCUCGACCGUCCUCGCGAGCACAAGCGACGACGGCACCGCCAAAUUCUACCGCUUCGCAGAGACUUUUUGGUAAUGUUCCAGGGGAAAGAUCACUGCCGGCCUCGGAUCGCGGUCAAGGUCCGCCCCCUUUCCAGACGUUUAAGCUAACCUAUCUCGUGUGCCUGUUUGUCCGUGUUGGCUUUCCGUAGGGGAGCGCACGCAGCCCCUCCUCCCCCCAAAAAAGUGUAUGUCUGAAGUCUGAACAGAGGGAUAACACGUUUGUUUCAACGCGCAAUACAUGAUGCCGUCUAAAGCGCUUGAACGGAAGCGAUUUAUUCGCAGGACGGGCGUGAGCCGCGCUUUAGUGGUUGCUCAGCACCCUCUUCCUCCCUCUCCAUCCUCCGCCUGCCCUGUGGAAACACCGACAACCGCCUUUGUUGUUGUUUGCUUUUUUUUUUGUGGCACUCCCUGUAUGGACUGCUGGUCUGGUGUGAGACUGCGCGGGCGUCUCUCACGCAUCGCGUCGCUUUCUCUCCCUCCCUGCCUCCUUCUAGUUUUCAUUUACUGCGCCACUUUUCUGUCCUUCUCGUCUCCUUGUCAUUUCUUCCUUCUGCCUGCGACGCGUGCACGAAG